rnacentral:rRNA from 1 species
GUGGGGAAUAUUGCACAAUGGGGGGAACCCUGAUGCAGCAAUGCCGCGUGGGUGAAGAAGUACUCCGGUAUGUAAAGCCCUAUCAGCAGGGAAGAUAAUGACGGUACCUGACUAAGAAGCCCCGGCUAACUACGUGCCAGCAGCCGCGGUAAUACGUAGGGGGCGAGCGUUAUCCGGAUUUACUGGGUGUAAAGGGAGCGCAGGCGGCGUAGCAAGUCAGAUGUGAAAACCCGGGGCCCAACCCCGGGACUGCAUUUGAAACUGCCAUGCUGGAGUGCCGGAGAGGUAAGUGGAAUUCCUAGUGUAGCGGUGAAAUGCGUAGAUAUUAGGAGGAACACCAGUGGCGGAGGCGGCUUACUGGACGGUAACUGACGCUGAGGCUCGAAAGCGUGGGGAGCAAACAGGA